GGAUCUGCCUGCCUAUCUACAUCUGCCUGCCUGGCUGGAUCUGCCUGCCUAUCUACAUCUGCCUGCCUGGCUGGAUCUGCCUGCCUAUCUACACUGCCUGCCUGGCUGGAUCUGCCUGCCUAUCUACACUGCCUGCCUGGCUGGAUCUGCCUGCCUAUCUACACUGCCUGCCUAGUUGGAUCUGCCGUCUGCAUCUAACAAAGGGUACGAGAGGGCUGGAGUUUGAAAAUGAGGGAGCACUGGGAAAGGAACGCCAGGAAGGUAACAGGAUCGCCUGCAUAACCCCCCGGAGGAGGUGCAGACUGAGACAGGGACACUGAGUGGACUCCCCUAUUGGUGUGCUGUGGUACUGCAGUGGGACCCCUGUGGAGCGCCUUGACAGUUCUGUGCAGUGUGCGUCUGGGUGUGUGUGAGCACCCGUUGAGUAGUACCACCAACCCUGGUCCUCCAGUACCACCAACCCUGGUCCUCCAGUACCACCAACCCUGGUCCUCCAGUACCACCAACCCUGGUCCUCCAGUACCACCAACCCUGUUCCUCCAGUACCACCAACCCUGGUCCUCCAGUACCACCAACCCUG
rnacentral:lncRNA from 1 species